rnacentral:lncRNA from 1 species
CUUGAAGUUGCAAAUAUUUUUUCAUUGGAUGUAAAUGAGAAAUAAUUAUCUUUACAUGUAAAACACCAUUAUGCUUAAAAGUUCAGAGCGAACAUUGUCGAAGGGGCACUUGUUGAUUAUUAUCACUUACCUUGGUUUAUUUUUCUUCUGGACUUCUGCAGAAUAUCCUGAAAUCUUAGCUUAAAGCUCAAACAAAAGUUUUAUGAAGUUAGUAAGUCUUUGUUGGGAAAAACCAAUCUAUGACACUUCCUGAAUGUAGGAUUUUGUAAUGUCUCCUUGUAAAUUUUUUUUUUUUUUUUAAAGAUGAGGUCUAUGAGAUGCUUUGGACAAUUUGCAUUGACUUGUAAUAGUAGUUUAUUGAAAUGUACGAGUCAAUAAAAGCUGAAUGUGAGGAUUUGAUUAAGCUUAUCUAUGCUUUUUUUUUUUUUUUAAACUAUAGCUUUUCUGUGUCUGUUCAUGGACAUGCUGCAAUUGUAAAUGCAAUUGUUACUGUACAUUUUUUUUUUUCAACUAUAGCUUUUCUUUUAUGUUUGGUCAUUUUUAGUUUUUAUUUCGAAGUAGAAAAAAGACUGCUGUCUUCUGCUCUGAAUAUAUGCUGCUUUUUAGGCUGAACUCGCUCAAUGCUUGGAAAGAGAUGGUUACAAUUCUAUCUAUGAGGCUGUUGGCGCAGAUUGUAGAUAGUUUUCUUGUAACUUACCCAGUUACACAUGCCACGGAGGUAAUGAUUGCUGUCGUAAACCUUAGCAUACAACUAACUAAGCACUUAGUUUCCCUUUUCCUUGCUCUGUUGUGAUAUAUUGCGAUGUAUGUUGCUAAUUUACAUACACUUCUUAUCUGUUCCACUUCAUUGGCUGGGGGGUGGUGGUUUUGAUGCGAACUGAAGUUUUUGGUCUUUUGAAUACUUUCAGUCUGCAUAGAUGAGUUUGAUCUAUAUGUGUCUGGUUAUUAUACAGUAAUCUGUUUUUUGCUAUCUAGCCACUCCUGUUUUAGUAAAGAGUUGAUAAUUAGGUCUUUCAGCAGCUAUAUUUGUCUGAAUUGACCUGGGAGUGACUUUGGAUUGGCUAAAUGUGUUAACAGAGUCAAGCUACCUCUUCCUGGAAGACCCUUGGUGCUUUUUAAUUCAAGGGGGAUAUUUGACAGCACAGUCAUCCUGAUUCGUAUAGAAGAGACCUUUAGCAGUGGCUUGAAGUUUGCUGCUGAGCGAGACAUCAAGAAGGCAUUUUCAUUUGUCAGAAUUCUUAUUAUACAGGAAAUCUUUCUUAGAAACCGAAGUGAUUGCCAGCAUUGCUUUGACAAUUUUGAUUAGGUUCUAGUUACGUUUUCAAUGCUAAAGCAUUUUUUUCCACAGUUAGGGGCUGUUAGGAUUGUGUCGGGGGUUUUGAGUGUUUAUUUUUACUUUUAUUAUUAUUUUGGGACCUCUCCCUUGGCAGCUGCUGUAAAUCUUUAUUUAUUUUUAUUUUUAUUUUUUUUGGCUAUUUUGUAUUCUGGAAGAGAAUAAAAUGUUGUUCACCUUAUCUCAUUAAAGUAAAUGGAUGAAAUCCUGUCUUUGAAGCUUCUUUUCUAUGUGAAUAGGAUAAUAGAUACAUGACCACCCAUCGAAAACUUUAGCCAUUUGGUCCUCCCAUGGCUCACCAAAUGAUUGUGGCUGAAAUCUUUUGGGUCCGCAGUUUUUUUCUAUCUAAUAUUUAGAGUAAACAGUUGCAAGAUCGGGGACACAAAUAAUUUAGGGGUAUUUUUUAUUUUUUAUUUUUAAUCAUCAUCACUUUAUCUAUAUUAUCUUAUUCUAUCCUAAUUUAAAGGGGAAAUUUAAUUGGGCCUCCGGAGGAUCGACGGAGAUUAAAAAAUCAUCGGACUAGAUGGUGCAUUACGCAUCUAUAUAGAUUUUUUUUAAAAGUCAUAUAUUGUGAUAAUUGAUGAGAAAUAAAUUUUGAACUCUUGACCUUUUAUCUCAUCAAGUUUUAAGGGUUUGGUGGACCAGCAGCCCAAAAGACUAUUGAUUAUUUAGUGGUAAUUGUUGCCAAGCCAUAUUUCUGGCUCUUAGUCACCCUAGCCCACCAUUUCGACAGUGUCAUUGACUUUUUUGGUCAGACCUCCUGUCAUUUAGUCCAAUCAGAGUGAAGAAAUGAAUGAUGUUUGGCAUGCAUUUGCCCAUGGAAACAGGGGCUUGAAGUUUAAAUUUGGUUAGAUAUUUACUCAAAGCGAGCUGGAUAACACGGUGAAAUUAAUAGCUAAGCUCGAAUGAAGUAUAUAUUAAUGCUUUUCAUGAAAAUGCAAAGUAAUCGACAGAUAUUACUUCGAUUUGGAAGAGAGAAGUCAUUUCUUAAACAGUAACUGAAAAGUUUGAACUUGGAGGCAACAGAAGAGAAGAAUUUUAUGAAUUACAGUAACAGCAAAAUGCUUUACAACAAUGUCCAAGGCGUCAAGGAUUCAUAAGAACUUUCUUGCUGAUGUUAUACCAAAAUGAUGG